rnacentral:lncRNA from 1 species
AUGUCGGUGGAGUUGAGCUGACCUGUGGGACCCACCAAAGUGGGGUCGCCCGACCCCAAUUCUAUGGGGUUAGGGUGUCAGCCCUGUCCUACAUGUCUUCAUCUCCAUGACUAUAAUGUUGUCUUGGUUACUGGUGUCACUGAUCUUUAGUUAUUCACCCCUUCUUAGUGUUUGGACCCUUGAAAAGUACCUGUUCUUACUCCUGCAACCAAAUAGUAGCAUGUACAUGUGGAACUAGGUUAUAUGUACCUAUAUUACUACUUUGUUUGGUUGUUUUCUCCCAAAAUGAGUCUUAUGUUGACGGUUAUGAUAGUAGAAAACAUGGUAUAAAUACCGUCAACAAGACCCCCCACACUUGAGUCUUUGCUCGUCCUCGAGUAAAGGUUAAAAAUGAGUGAUCAAUGGUUUCUAACUUAAGAUAGUAGUGAGCAUAAAAUGCUAGUUCGAACAUAGUUCAUCCAAAUGGGUUUUUGUGUAAGUGUCUAGCAUAUAUCCUUCAGAGGUUGAGAAAAGGAACAACUCUCAGAACAAGAUCAAAUUCCAAUUUCAUAUUCUUGGUACUUAGAGUUUUUAUGACACUUUUUAAAAUAAGUCACAUAGUUCAAUCCUACUCCUCAUUUAGCGCUCUAGAUCACUCAAAGUUUUUUUUUUUAGUAGUCCUCACCAAGGCAUGAAUGCCAACUUGUUUCAUCCUAUAACUAUAGGCUUAUAUGGGGCUUGGUAGGGAUAAACAAGGUAGCAUACUCUACUUUGCAAAUAUUGUUAAGUCAAAAACAAGGAUCCAAAGAGAGGAGUGUCAUAGUCAUAGAUCAAGAUGUGCAAGUGUGUUAUAUGGUGGACUAGGUUGCUCCUUUAUUUGCUACACUCUCUCUACUUGUAUAUUGAGACAUGGCUAGAUUUUCUUUUUCUUCGAGCUUUAUGUGCUCAAUUUUUUUUUUAUUAUUUUGCCAAGCCUUUUAUGUCUCAUUUUCUAAACAAUAUUUAGAGAGGUGUUCUAACACUUAGAGUAUGGAGCAACCUAUUUAGUGGAUGCACAAUACAUGUGGUUGCGUACUUCCAGUGUAGAAGCAGCAUAUAUAUAUGUGGUGUGUACGUGAUCUUGAUCUUGUGACUAUGAUACAACUCUCACUAGGGUCAACAAGGUUUUGACAAAACUCAUUACAAAAGCAGGUUGCAUUUCAUAAAAUGGUUACUUGA